GCGAGGGUGGUGAAAUUGGUAGACACGCCAGACUUAGGAUCUGGUGCCUUUGGCAUGAGGGUUCGAUUCCCUUCUCUCGCA
rnacentral:tRNA from 1 species